GUCCUGGUGCUUCCCAAAUGCAAAACACGCCCGGUGCAGGCUCUUGCCUGGCCGCUGGGCUCUUCAUCACAGCUGAGGAAUCUCCGCAGCCCUCCCGUGUGCCUCUUUAGUGUGUCUGAGCUGGAGUGAUGCAGCGGUCCAGUAGCAGUUCUACUGUAAGAAACGCACCCCCCUGGCCGCACACUCAGACUUGAUGUAACCAACGGAACAGAGUUUCAGCAGCAGGAGAAGCCAGUGGCGGCAGCAGCCCCCAGAGACGGGUUCUGGAGCAGUCAGCUCCGAUUCCCUGCCUGCUGUCUUCUUCCCAGACGACCUCAGGCACUCACGUGGCUUCAGCAACCAUCCACAGCUGAUGGAUCAGCCCGUGUCUCCAGCCCAGACUGCAGAGCAUCGCCACCUCCCAGAUACCCAAGCCAGCCUCUGGGACUUCUCCCACUUGCUCAAAUGUCUUGACCAUUGUGUACCCCCAGUACUUUCCACAAAAACUGGCAUAUGGUAACUUCUCAAUAUGCCGAACAGAUGGAUGGAUGAACGAAUGGAUGGAUGGUCUCUGGUUAAGAGAUUCAGAAUGAGAGUAUAGAGUCUCAAGAUUACUUGAAAUCAUAACAAUAGUUGAUUUCCUGGAAGUAGUGUGAAGAGAGAAGCGCAGAUGGCACACGACAGAGCCUCAGGGAAGAACCCCCUUCAGGGGGUGGGAGGGCUAUUCCUCAGUAG
rnacentral:lncRNA from 1 species